rnacentral:lncRNA from 1 species
CCCGACAUCCCCCUGCGUUCCCAGUGCCAUUUCCCGACAUCCCCCUGCGUUCCCAGUGCCAUUUCCCGACAUCCCCCUGUGUACCCAGUGCCAUUUCCCGACAUCCCCCUGUGUACCCAGUGCCAUUUCCCGACAUCCCCCUGCGUUCCCAGUGCCAUUUCCCGACAUCCCUCUGCGUACCCAGUGCCAUUUCCCGACAUCCCCCUGUGUAAUAUCAGAGAAACUGAUGCAAGCAGAGAUUGGUUUUUAAUCUUUAACGUGGAGAGUUUAAGCUAGCUGACUGGAUAGGACUCUUGUCCAAAGCUUUCAGUGCAGGGUUGGUUCUGUUCCAGGCUACAGGAGGCAGGAUUAAGAUUAUCAACAUUCUGGAAUCUGUGAGCCAUCUCCCAGCCAUUUGAUCUAAUAUUGUUCUUACUUGAUGUGGGACACUUACUAUAACACUGCCUCCAAAGAUCAAGCAGCCUCUUCUGGAUCAUAAUGAAGCCUGAGCAAGUCAAGAUGAUACAAGAAUUAUAUCUGUGACCAAUACGAAAUUCAAUAAAGGCAGAUCCUUCAGUUGUAUCAUUUUGAAGAAAUGACAUGCAUUGUGAAUGG